GAAGUGGAAAUACAGCAGUGAGGAGGCAAAGCAGCAGUACACUCAGACUGGAUCUAUUCCAGGGAAUAAUAAUAGUGACUGAGCUGAAGAACUUUGAGCUUGUGUGAGCUGUGGUGAAAUUCUUCAACUUGUACAUAGCAUAGCCAGGACAGCAGGGAACUUCAUGCAGGCCACAAGUGACUUAAAAAGUUGUUUUCAGAUAAAAGAAAAAAGAAAGACAAGAUGUUGUUUUACUUCCGUGAUUCUUGGGAAAAUGCAAAAAUACCAAUUAAGCUGUAAUUUUAACUCACAGCUGUCUUUCAAUGCCAAUGAAAAAGACUGAACCACUGAUUGAUCACCUGAGGCAAGGGCUGAGUCAGCCCUGGGAGCACAGGUGAAGGCAAUUCACCUGUUUGACCAGAAGGGGUGGAGCCUAGCUGCACCUCUACUAGAUCUGUUUAAAGGCUGACUGAAGCUGCAGAAGGAUCUCUUUCUGGAGAUUCUCCCUUUGGAGUCUUCUACUGUGAGCCUAGGACACGGCUGAAAUGGGACAGAGUUUAUUGAUGGGCUUUCCUUCUGGAUUCCAUUGGCUUGAAGAGGUGGGGAUCUGUAAAGUCUGCAGUGCAUGAAGACUUCUCAUCCCCUUCCUCUGCAGUUCAGCCUCAGGGAAGGACCCUGUCAGGACUGGGUCCGAAGUGUCUUGGUGCUCUGUUUACUCUUGCUCUUGAAUAAACUCUGAGGGCUUUCAAUUGGGGCACUACAGACACCAGCAUGUCUAAAUGAAUUGAACACCUGCUGACACGAAUGCCCUAGUAUUUGAAGUUUUGUCUGUACUAAAUUGUAAUUUUUCUAUUUUGUAAAAAAAAAAAAAUCUGUUAAAAAGAUAAGUGGAUGAACAGCAGAAGGGUGUUGUGCAGGGUGCUCUGUAGUGCAAGCCCAGAGUGCAAAAUUUGC
rnacentral:lncRNA from 1 species